rnacentral:rRNA from 1 species
UACGGAGGGUGCGAGCGUUGUUCGGAAUUAUUGGGCGUAAAGCGCGUGUAGGCGGUUUGAUAAGUCUGAUGUGAAAGCCCCGGGCUCAACCCGGGAAGUGCAUUGGAAACUGUCAGACUUGAAUACGGGAGAGGGCAGUGGAAUUCCUAGUGUAGGAGUGAAAUCCGUAGAUAUUAGGAGGAACACCGGUGGCGAAGGCGGCUGCCUGGACCGAUAUUGACGCUGAGACGCGAAAGCGUGGGGAGCAAACAGG